UACGUAGGGUGCAAGCGUUGUCCGGAAUCAUUGGGCGUAAAGAGCGUGUAGGCGGCUCGGUAAGUCCGCUGUGAAAGUCCAGGGCUCAACCCUGGAAUGCCGGUGGAAACUGUCGAGCUCGAGUCCGGAAGAGGCGAGUGGAAUUCCUGGUGUAGCGGUGAAAUGCGCAGAUAUCAGGAGGAACACCAAUGGCGAAGGCAGCUCGCUGGGACGGUACUGACGCUGAGACGCGAAAGCGUGGGGAGCAAACAGG
rnacentral:rRNA from 1 species